CAAAGGGGGCGUGAGAAGGCGCGCACACUAAUUGACAGCUGAGAACGAAGUCUGACUGCUGACUUAGUGCUAUAGGCACCAGUUAUACAGAACUCAAGAAGAACCCAAAUUGCACUGAAAUAACGCCCAUCUGCGGCAUAAAGAAAACAGAAAGAAUCCAGCACAUACACCAGCGUGCAUACAAACUUAAACUGCAGAGUGUGCCAAGAAUGGCAUGGAUGGAGGGCAGCUGGCACUGCACUAGGGAGAUGCCACCUGAGCAGAACAGGUGUAACCUAUUCUAUAACUGCAAGACAGUGGAAAUGUAUCUGCAAGUGGCAUGAACUCUAUCCUUUGGUCUGUCAGUGAAUCCAACCGCAUGGUGUCAGCAAAGGCGGCUUUCCACCAGAAAGAGGUGAAAAACCAAGUAGAAAACUUGCUGGGAUGAAGAAGACUGUUGCAAACAUCUCAGAUAUAAGACACAUCCAGAAUGCAAAGUCAGUGGUCACUGAUGGACCUCCUUUUAGACUCCUCACUAUGCUCCUUGUGCCACUAUUCACUGGGAGACAACCAUCUUGGGCAGAAAGCCACUGCAGGUGGAUUGACACAAUGCCAUGUAGGCAGCUGCUCCUUGUGCUGGAUCAGAGGGAACUUUAUACAGAGAUACUUGGAAAGGUUUCCUUUCUUGCUGCCCCUACGAAAUCUGCUGCCACCAGCCUCUGCCGUGGAAAUGUUUACCGUAGUACAGCGUUACUGUAACUGCAAGGUCAGAAUGACUUGGGAGACGUACUUGCAAAUCUGCAGAAGCAGGAGGGAAGAAUCUGUUCUCUAUAAAAGACAGGACCUGCUGUUGCUUCUUCAUAGGGCUGAAAAGUCCUUUCUCUUCCUCUGCACUAAAAUGGGUGAAGAAAAAUGAUUACGGAGGAGUUUAUGGGAUUAAGGAGCUAGCUGAACUAACAAGCGAGGGGAGGGCAGAAAACACAGGCCAUCAUCAGACACUUAAAAGAAGCCUAUUCGAAUAGACAUGGUGGCGUUGUUUCUUACCUACUAGAACAGUUGCAUACCCAUGGAACUUUAGGUGUCAUCCACGUAUCUGACCCUACACCACAGAGCAAGAUCCCCACGAGCACAGAGGCGAAAGAGUUGGAACAUCCCAGAUGGGCACUUAAAACUUGCGGAUAUCCAGACUGGGCCUGUGUUAAAACCGGGAAAAGGAGAGCAAUUACACCAAAACUGGAGAAGGUGGAAAGCUUGACAGACGAAAGAACUUGGUCCUCCCAUUUGUAGCUGGGCUGUCGAAAGGAUUUUUAAUAAACACUGCAUUCCUGUGUCCUUUAAACCCAGAAACACACCAAGGCAGCAACUGGUUCACCCAAAAGACCCAAACCCAAAGCAUAAGAAGAGUAACAUCGUGUGCUCGGACUUGUAUGUGGGAGAAACCAAAAAACAGUUCCACCAACGUAUGGCACAGCCAGCCCCUCCAAUGUAAAAAUGUAAAAGUGAGAAGUGGAUACAAAAUAUUUUAGGAGUAGGUCCACGGUCUAAGGUUUUCUGGUGGGCCCCUGGCAUCCCAGUCCAACACUGCUGAUACAAGCAGCACCUUACCUCCAUGAGAUCCCUGACCACGUGCUGAUUAUGAUAAACAGACUAAGAUAAUUGAAGAAAGAUUCCAGGGUAUUUAACUCCAGAAAUAUCUUAGUAGAAGCCAUUCUGAAUUAAGAAAGCCAGUCGGAUGACUAGCAAAAUGUCUUCAAGAGAAAAAAAUACAGCAAGUCCAAUUGAUUUGAUUUAUUACUAUAGAUACAUUCUAUACAUACUAUACUAUAAACAUUAUUAAUGGGAGUAUAUUGGAAAGUUGCUUAGAAUUAUAAUUUCUUUAAUUGUGCCAAAAAUAUUCAUUUCUGGUCAGAGGACCAUAUUAAAGCCUAUUAAAUCCUACAAAUACCUAAAUUGAACUUAUUGUAUUUGCUUAAGUGAUGCAAGUGUUAAAUGUUAUUGAUUCAAAGUCAAGUUCGAUGUUUGACUGCCAUUUUGGGAUCAUAAAAGAACUGAUUCAUCUCCCACUGAUACUGUUUUUACUUGGCAGUGUCUUUAUGUUUGCGCUGAGAGGAGUAGGGCACAGCUAUUUUAUUUCCUAUUACUUCACCCUCUCCCUCAUAGUUCAGACCUUUAUAUUGUUUAAAAGGGGAAGCGCUGUAAAACAAUGUCCAGAGAGAAUUCUUGGAAGCAGCUGCGAUAAGGAAACCAUCUAAACUUUUUCAGCAGAAAAAUAAAUAGCAAAGCUUUUAGAUAAGGGGCUGAUAUGCAUUGUUUACUUACUCCUUGGGAUUCCAUAGCUAUGAUAUUAUUGCUCUCACUGUAUGCAACAGAUUGGAUUGCACUUGGGACACAUUGGGGGAAAAGUCAGGUUUAUUUUAUUUUUGAGUCCCAGAUCCUAUAUAGCUCUGUUUACUGGAAAGGAAAAUAAACACUGCAAAAUUAUGAUUAUGACUGAAAACAUUUAUAUUAGAUUAUUUUUUAAUGCUGCUGUUUUGUUCAGUAGUGAUCAGCAAAAUGUCUUAGCAGGGAUUAGUUUGGGGUAAAAUUCUGUGUUUCUCUAUGAGCAAAAUGUACAAAACUGUACCAAAUUCUGCUCUGAGAAAUACCCAAAUGGUCAUUGACUUUAAUGCAUUUCAACCUUUCAUAAAUUUGCCGCUGUUCCACAAAUUUGGGAUUCGCUCAACAAAAAAAAAACAACAACAAAUUUUCACUGUGAAAAGUGCCUAGUUCCCAAUAUUGGGAAUUUAUCAAUUUUUUUGGCAGUAAACAUUCUCUUAUCACUGCUGUUCAGCCUAAGCGCAAAUUAGUUAGUUUCCAUUUUGUCUUCGCUCUUCUGCAGUAAAGGUAUCCAGCUAUGUUCCCUGUAUGUAGGUUUUUCCAAAAAAACACAUUUUUUUUUAAACUAGCAACUUUUUUCUCACCCAAAUACAUCAAAGUCAAUCUAUGCCUGGCAAAAAAAUUUGCUCACUACUAUUAUUCACCACUGAUGUGUGUACAUUAAGCAAGGUGGGGCGUGAUGUCGCUGGGUGCCCAUCUGUGGUUUGGGCCACGAGUGCUUUAAAUGACUCUACCCUGGAUUCUUAUUAAACAACACUCUUUAUCAACUGCAGGGCUUCAAGGUAAAAUAAGGAUUACAAUGUUCUAGAAAUAAGAUUGUAUGAAUAUGGUUGGCUAAUAUUUUGUGACAUAUUUAAUAUGUAUAUUUGAAUCAAUGUUCUUUAAACAAGGUUCUUUUUUUAAUCAGAUAUGUGAGCUAGUGUUAUUAUCACCUUAACUUUUAACCCUUGCCUAGGGGGUGGGUAUUUUUCUAAAAUCUAUUUAUUACUAUGCCCCACUAGAUUAGUUGGCUGGUUGUUUUGGCAAUAAUUGGGUGACAUGAUUUAUCCUGCAUUCACUAUUAUUGCCUGGAAACAAAAAAAGAUUUUUGAGCGAAAUAAAAGGCUAGUGUGGCAGGUGAUGAGGUCCCAGCUAAAGAACAACAUGUCUGUAUGAUUAACAAAUGAACCCUGUUGUCUAGAUAAGGUAUAUAUGGCAGAAGGCACCAAGAGUUAUGUAAGACUUUCUGUGCUGUCUUAUCCUUGCUGAGCCUUGGCCUUUGCAGUUUACUAUGUGAUCAACAAACCAUAACAAUCCUUGGAAACCCUCAGGAAUUAAUGUUCUCUUCCAAGAAUUUUUAUUAUGGACAUUGUUUAUUUUUUUUCUCUCAAAUGAAUCAAAAGAUGAAUCACAACGAGUGUCCAAAUAAUAAGUAAUUAUAGCUGCAAAGUCUGUUUUUGAAAUAAAUAUGCGCUGUAAACGAA